CAAUUGCGAGAAGGAUGGAAGUGGAAAUCCUUUUUAAAAUGCAGUGCAGCGGAAUUUAAAAAGAUUGAAACGUACAGCCUGACCCAAC
rnacentral:sRNA from 1 species